ensembl:miRNA
CGCCUCUGCAGCUCCCGCUCCCCCUGGCCUCCCGGGAACUACAAGUCCCAGGGGGCCUGGCGGCGGGCGGCGGCCGGAAGAG